rnacentral:rRNA from 1 species
UACGAAGGGGGCUAGCGUUUUUCGGAAUCACUGGGCGUAAAGCGUACGUAGGCGGAUGAAUAAGUCAGGGGUGAAAGCCUGGAGCUCAACUCCAGAACUGCCUUUGAUACUGUUUGUCUUGAGUCCGGGAGAGGUGAGUGGAACUGCUAGUGUAGAGGUGAAAUUCGUAGAUAUUAGCAAGAACACCAGUGGCGAAGGCGGCUCACUGGCCCGGUACUGACGCUGAGGUACGAAAGCGUGGGGAGCAAACAGG